rnacentral:rRNA from 1 species
GAGGAAUAUUGGUCAAUGGGCGCAAGCCUGAACCAGCCAUCCCGCGUGCAGGAAGACGGCCCUAUGGGUUGUAAACUGCUUUUCCAGGGGGAGAAUUUUUCUGUCGUGACAGGAAUUGACGGUACCCUGGGAAUAAGCGUCGGCUAACUCCGUGCCAGCAGCCGCGGUAAUACGGAGGAUGCGAGCGUUAUCCGGAUUUAUUGGGUUUAAAGGGUGCGUAGGCGGAUUGAUAAGUCAGUGGUGAAAACCUGCAGCUUAACUGUAGACUUGCCGUUGAUACUGUCAGUCUUGAGUGUGGUCAAGGUAGGCGGAAUGUGUAAUGUAGCGGUGAAAUGCUUAGAUAUUACACAGAACACCGAUUGCGAAGGAAGCUUACUGGGCCAUUACUGACGCUGAUGCACGAAAGCGUGGGGAUCGAACAG